AUGACAGAGCUAGGGAACUGGGUUAUUCAGUGGGGACCAAAUCCCUGGGGUCCAAAUUCCUGUAAAAGUAUCCAGCAGGCAGACCAAGAGUUUGCAAAAUUAAAAGAAACCACCAAGUCGAAACUCUUCUCACGAAAAUUCUUAAAAUGUGCAGGAGCAUGGGCUGUGUGGUUAGUGGCCAAAAGUUUAGCUGAAGAAAAACAGACAGCCCAAGCAGAAAUUCAGAACCUAAAGGAGGAAAAUGACAAAUUGAAAGCUGAAGUAAAGGCUCAACGAGUUAAGCUAGAAGAGGGUAAAACACGAGAAGGAGUUGCAGCUGUGGAACAAGUUAGAAGUGUCUUACAAUAUCAAGAAGUAUGUGAACAAAAAAAGGCAAUCAUGAAUGAAAAUCAGCAAUUAAAAGAAAGACUAGCUAUCAGUACAAAAGCUGUAGAGGAGGUUCAAGGAGCAAUCCGAGUAUUAGUGCAAAACAUACAGAGCCUAAAAGAGAAGGGCACAGACCACCGAGCAUGUGAGGCCAAGGUGGAAAAGUUAAAAGCAGCAUUAGGGGCAAAGCACGGUGUGGUCACAGCCCUUCCUAAAGCACCCUACGGAGGUGAUGAUGAGCCUUGGGACAGAGAAACAUGGACUGACCAAGGCGAUAACCCCUCUUUAGAGCAGCAUAACGCUCCAAGCCCAUAUGCUGUAGCUUUUGAGGCACACGAAAGGUUUAAAGGAAAUCCAGUUUCCCCUACUACUGCUCAGGUCACUGUGAAAAGGGAAGCUGGAGGCACAGAAGAAGGGAGAAGAAGGGGAAAUGUGCAGCCACAGGGAGAUCGAGUUAUUAGGCGAGAAACAACUGCUACUGAUCUGACGCCAUACCAGUUAAAACAAGGAAGCUGCAAGGAGAGGAAUGAGCAGUCAGGAAGGAGCGCCUGGACAAGGGAAGCUGGGGUGGUCUGGGGGAGAGCAAAUGGCAGUAAGGGGAAGAGGAACCCCAGGGAGAGAAAUGAUUUAGAGGUGAUGCAAACUGUUGCCUCCUCCAAUGUGACUCCCCAAUACUCUUCCUCCGGAAAAGUGGCAAGGGGAAGGUGGCAGGGUAAGAAGCAGUGGCAGAAUAGCACCACCCCCCAAGUAGCAGUAAGAAAUAACGUAGCAAGAAAGGAGUUAAACACAAUGCGAGUGGACAUAUGGAGGCAGCUUCGGAAGCAGGGGGAGGAUAUGACUCGCUGGGACAAUGCUCCUACGGGCGUUUUGCUGGAUCGCUUGCUGGAGAUCAGCGGGAGAAGGGAGGAAAGUGGGCCCGGGGCCCCUGUCCUCCCGGUCGUAGUCUAG
rnacentral:lncRNA from 1 species